rfam:Oryza sativa Japonica Group DNA, chromosome 4, cultivar: Nipponbare, complete sequence.
AUAAAGGCAAACCCUGGGUUUCCGUGUCCAAUUUUAACUGUCCGUCUUAUAUGAAAUUUUUUUAUAAUUUGUAUUUUCAUUGUUGUUAGAUGAUAAAACAUGAUAAAUAUUUUAUGCGUGAUUUGUCUUUUUAAUUUUUUUAUAUUUUUUUCAAAAAUAAGACGGACGGUCAAAUGUUGGGCACGGAAACCAAGGUUUGUCUUUUUU